UACAAUGGCGCAUACAAAGAGAAGCGACCUCGCGAGAGCAAGCAGACCUCAUAAAGUGCGUCGUAGUCCGGAUUGGAGUCUGCAACUCGACUCCAUGAAGUCGGAAUCGCUAGUAAUCGUGGAUCAGAAUGCCACGGUGAAUACGUUCCCGGGCCUUGUACACACCGCCCGUCACACCAUGGGAGUGGGUUGCAAAAGAAGUAGGUAGCUUAACCUUCGGGAGGGCGCUUACCACUUUGUGAUUCAUGACUGGGGUGAAGUCGUAACAAGGUAACCGUAGGGGAACCUGCGGUUGGAUCACCUCCUUACCUUAAAGAAGC
rnacentral:rRNA from 1 species